GACGAACGCUGGCGGCGUGCUUAACACAUGCAAGUCGAACGGAAAGGCCCUGCCUUUGUGGGGUGCUCGAGUGGCGAAGGGGGGAGUAACACGUGAGUAACCGGCUCUUGACUUUGGGAUAACUUCAGGAAACUGGGGCUAAUACCGGAUAGGAGCUCCUGCUCGAUGGUGGGCGUUGGAACGUUUCGGCGGUUGGGGAUGGACUCGCGGCUGAUGAGCUUGCUGGUGGGGGAGUGGCUUACCCAGGCUUUGACGGGUAGCCGGCUUGUGAGGGUGACCGGGCACAUUGGGACAGCGAGACGGAGCAGAGUGCAAUGGGAGGCAGCAGGGGGGAAUAUUGCACAAUGGGAGGAAGCGGGAGGCAACGGCGCCGGGUUCGGGAAGCCGUCCUUUGGGGUGAGAACCGCUGUCGCCUGUGACGAAGCGUGAGUGACGGUAAUGGAUGAAGAAGCACCGGCUAACUACGUG
rnacentral:rRNA from 1 species